rnacentral:rRNA from 1 species
CCUACGGGUGGCUGCAGUGAGGAAUAUUGGUCAAUGGGCGCGAGCCUGAACCAGCCAAGUCGCGUGAAGGAUGACUGUCCUACGGGUUGUAAACUUCUUUUAUAAGGGAAUAAAGUGAGGCACGUGUGCCCUUUUGUAUGUACUUUAUGAAUAAGGAUCGGCUAACUCCGUGCCAGCAGCCGCGGUAAUACGGAGGAUCCGAGCGUUAUCCGGAUUUAUUGGGUUUAAAGGGAGCGUAGACGGGUUGUUAAGUCAGUUGUGAAAGUUUGCGGCUCAACCGCAAAAUGGCAAUUGAUACUGGCAGUCUUGAGUACAGUUGAGGUAGGCGGAAUUCGUGGUGUAGCGGUGAAAUGCUUAGAUAUCGCGAAGAACUCCGAUUGCGAAGGCAGCUUACUAACCUGCCACUGACAUUGAUGCUCGAAAGUGUGGGUAUCAAACAGGAUUAGAUACCCCUGUAGUC